UGGUCAAGUUAUUAAGGGUGCAGGGCGGAUGCCUUGGCACUAGGAGCCGAUGAAGGACGUGAUAAGCUGCGAUAAGCUUCGGGGAGUUGCACGUAAACUUUGAUCCGAAGAUUUCCGAAUGAGGAAACUCACUUAGAGUAAUGUCUAAGUAUCAUUAAGUGAAUACAUAGCUUAAUGAGGGGAACUCAGGGAACUGAAACAUCUAAGUACCUGAAGGAAGAGAAAGAAAUUCGAUUCCGUAAGUAGCGGCGAGCGAACGCGGAUUAGCCCAAACCAAUAAAGUUUUCUUUAUUGGGGUUGCGGACAUAUCAUAACGAAGAGGUAUCGUAAUUGAAGAGGUUUGGAAAGACCCACCACAGAAGGUAAUAGUCCUGUAUGUUAAACGAAAAGACUUUAGAUAUGAUCCAGAGUACCACGGGACACGUGAAACCCUGUGGGAAGCAGGAGGGACCACCCUCCAAGGCUAAAUACUACCUAGUGACCGAUAGCGUAUAGUACCGUGAGGGAAAGGUGAAAAGAACCCCGGGAGGGGAGUGAAAUAGAACCUGAAACCCUGCACUUACAAGCUGUGGAAGCACAUUUCUUGUGUGACCGCGUACUUUUUGUAGAACGGGCCAACGAGUUACGUUAAGUAGCAAGGUUAAGCACUUAAGGUGCGGAGCCGUAGCGAAAGCGAGUUUUAACUGAGCGUUCAGUUACUUGACGUAGACCCGAAACCGGGCGACCUACCCAUGAGCAGGAUGAAGCGAAAGUAAAAUUUCGUGGAGGUCCGAACCCACGAGCGUUGAAAAGCUCGGGGAUGACUUGUGGGUAGCGGUGAAAUUCCAAUCGAGCCCGGAGAUAGCUGGUUCUCCCCGAAAUAGCUUUAGGGCUAGCCUCAAGGUGAGAGAUACGGAGGUAGAGCACUGAAUGUCCUAGGGGGUAUUGCACCUACCGAAGACUAUCAAACUCCGAAUGCCGUCAUCUUAUACUUGGGAGUCAGACUGUGGGUGAUAAGAUUCAUAGUCGAAAGGGCAACAGCCCAGAUCGUCAGCUAAGGUCCCUAAAUGUAAGUUAAGUGGUAAAGGAUGUGGGAUUGCACAGACAACCAGGAUGUUGGCUUAGAAGCAGCCACUCAUUCAAAGAGUGCGUAAUAGCUCACUGGUCGAGUGAUCCUGCGCCGAAGAUUUCCGGGGCUAAAACUUACUACCGAAGCUACGGCAUCAGUAAUGAUGGGUAGGGGAGCUUCCCAUACGGGUUGAAGCAUGACCGUAAGGACAUGUGGACAGUAUGGGAGUGAGAAUGUUGGCAUGAGUAGCGAGAUGUGGGUGAGAAUCCCACAGGCCGUAAACCCAAGGUUUCCAGGGGAAGGUUCGUCCGCCCUGGGUUAGUCGGGACCUAAGCUGAGGCCGAAAGGCGUAGGUGAUGGACAACAGGUUGAUAUUCCUGUACUACCGAUAACCGUUUGAGAGAAGGGAUGACACAGUAGGAUAAGCUAAGCACACUGUUGGUUAUGUGUGCCCAAGCAUUGAGGCAGUCAAAGUAGGCAAAUCCGCUUUGAUAAUGCUGGGAUGUGAUGGGGAGCGAAAUUUAGUAGCGAAGUAGCUGAUUUCACACUGUCAAGAAAAGUCUCUAUCGAGGUUAAAGGUACCCGUACCGCAAACCGACACAGGUGGGUGAGGAGAGUAUCCUAAGGCCAGCGAGAGAACUGUUGUUAAGGAACUCGGCAAAAUGACCCCGUAACUUAGGGAUAAGGGGUGCCACCAUCAGGUGGCCGCAGAGAAUAGGCCCAAGCGACUGUUUACCAAAAACAUAGGUUUCUGCUAAGUCGCAAGACGAUGUAUAGGAGCUGACGCCUGCCCGGUGCUGGAAGGUUAAGGGGAUCUGUUAGAGCAAUCGAAGCAGUGAACUUAAGCCCCAGUAAACGGCGGCCGUAACUAUAACGGUCCUAAGGUAGCGAAAUUCCUUGUCGGGUAAGUUCCGACCCGCACGAAAGGCGUAACGAUUUGGGCACUGUCUCAACAACAGACUCGGUGAAAUUGUAAUUCCGGUGAAGAUGCCGGAUACCUGCGACAGGACGGAAAGACCCCAUGGAGCUUUACUGUAGCUUGACAUUGGGUCUUGGUACUACAUGUACAGGAUAGGUGGGAGGCUUUGAAACCAGGACGCCAGUUUUGGCGGAGCCAUCCUUGGGAUACCACCCUUGUAGUACUGGGACUCUAACCAUAGGCCAUGAAUCUGGUCUUGGGACACUGUCAGGUGGGCAGUUUGACUGGGGCGGUCGCCUCCCAAAAGGUAACGGAGGCGCUCAAAGGUUCUCUCAGUACGGUCGGAAAUCGUACGUAGAGUGUAAAGGCAAAAGAGAGCUUGAUUGCAAGACAUACAGGUCGAGCAAGGAUGAAAAUCGGACUUAGUGAUCCGGUGGUUCUGCGUGGAAGGGCCAUCGCUCAACGGAUAAAAGCUACCCUGGGGAUAACAGGCUUAUCUCCCCCAAGAGUCCACAUCGACGGGGAGGUUUGGCACCUCGAUGUCGGCUCAUCACAUCCUGGGGCUGUAGUAGGUCCCAAGGGUUGGGCUGUUCGCCCAUUAAAGUGGUACGCGAGCUGGGUUCAGAACGUCGUGAGACAGUUCGGUCCCUAUCCGUCGCAGGCGUAGGAAAUUUGAGAAGACCUGUCCUUAGUACGAGAGGACCGGGAUGGACGUACCUCUGGUGUACCAGUUGUCCUGCCAAGGGCAUGGCUGGGUAGCUAUGUACGGAAUGGAUAAGCGCUGAAAGCAUCUAAGCGCGAAGCCAACUUCAAGAUAAGAUUUCCCACCGCAAGGGUAAGACCCCAGAAAGACUAUCUGGUUGAUAGGUCGAAGGUGUAAGUGCAGCAAUGUAUUUAGCUUAUCGAUACUAAUAGGUCGAGGACUUGACCAAU
rnacentral:rRNA from 1 species